UCCGCCCUACGGGACGCAGCAGUAGGGAAUUUUCGUCAAUGGGCGCAAGCCUGAACGAGCAAUGCCGCGUGAACGAGGAAGGUCUUCGGAUCGUAAAGUUCUGUUGAAGGGGAAAAAGAGCGGAGAGAGGAAAUGAACUCCGAUUGAUAUUACCCUUCGAGGAAGUCACGGCUAACUACGUGCCAGCAGCCGCGGUAAUACGUAGGUGGCGAGCGUUAUCCGGAAUGAUUGGGCGUAAAGGGUGCGUAGGCGGCCUGCUAAGUCUGGAGUGAAAGUUACCGGCUCAACCGGUACAGGCUCUGGAA
rnacentral:rRNA from 1 species